GAUUUCUGGUUCGGCGCACUUAGCCCGUCUCGGUUUACGGGAUUGUGUGCUGGUGUGCGCCAUCCAUCCUUCGAGAGAACAUGCUUGCCCUUUACUGGGUGUAGUAUGCUAUCUCGAUCUUUUACUUUGAAAAAAUUAGAGUGUUUAAAGCAGGCUUGCGCUAUGAAUACAUUAGCAUGGAAUAAUAAUUUAGGACUUUGGUCUUAUUUUGUUGGUUUCUAGGACUAAAGUAAUGAUUGAUAGGGACAGUUGGGGGUGCUAGUAUUCAGCGGCCAGAGGUGAAAUUCUUGGAUUCGCUGAAGACUAACUUAUGCGAAAGCAUU
rnacentral:rRNA from 1 species